AACGAACGCUGGCGGCAGGCCUAACACAUGCAAGUCGAACGCUCCGCAAGGGAGUGGCGCACGGGUGAGUAACACGUGGGAACCUACCUUCUGGUACGGAACAACCAAGGGAAACUUUGGCUAAGACCGUAUACGACCUCCGGGUGAAAGAUUGAUCGCCGGAAGAGGGGCCCGCGUCCGAUUAGGUAGUUGGUGAGGUAACGGCUCACCAAGCCUUCGAUCGGUAGCUGGUCUGAAGAGGAUGACCAGCCACACUGGGACUGAGACACGGCCCAGACUCCUACGGGAGGCAGCAGUGGGGAAUAUUGGACAAUGGGCGCAAGCCUGAUCCAGCCAUGCCGCGUGAGUGAUG
rnacentral:rRNA from 1 species